rnacentral:tRNA from 1 species
UCCCGUGUGGCUCAGUUGGUAGAGCAUGGUGUUUGCAACGCCAGGGUUGUGGGUUUGAUUCCCACAGGGGAU